rnacentral:lncRNA from 1 species
CUUCAAUUGUAACAGUAUAGAUCCAGUUUGUUUUUCUCUUUUCUGCUUUCAUUAGAGACACGUUAUGCUAAGGCUUUCUCGUCUUUUGGUUCCUUGGCGAUGGCUUUCAUCUUCUGAAGUAAUAGCCUUCAUUGUUAGCAUCCAGAUUGGUCUAUAAAGGCCAUUCACAGGAGAUAUAGGCAUCAUCAGUCCUUUCUAUAAGCCGAAGGGGGCAGAAGAAUCAGCAGCUAAUGGCUUUUUUAUUAUAAACACCUAGGCUACUGGUUUUGUAAGCGUCAGGAGGUGCAACGAGAAGAGCAUGGAUCUAGCAAAAAUUUUUCAUGAGAUCCUAGAGAAAGAAACGUGCCAUAAGCAUGGCUCUUGGACAUGGACAGCUCCAGGACUGCAGAUGGGAGCACCUCUGAGUGUGCUCUCCAUGCCGGAUGCUCACCGCGGGGUAAUCAUGCUUUCCAUGUUGUUUUCUUUGGAAAACGUAAGUCAUCUGCCGGAAUUAGUGAGGUUGGACUUAAUAUUUUUCCCCAUGAACCUUUAGUCUUAGUAAUUUGAAGGUUAUAUAAAUAUAUCCCUUAAAUACCCUGAGUAUGUCUCUAGUUAUUUUAGCUUUGGUAAUGGUAUUGAGUUUAUUGAGUUCACACAAUUAAAUGAACAAUUUAAUGCCAGAUAAGAAUUUUUCUUACCAGGAAUGUCUGGCAAAUGAGGCCUAACAAAAACAAUAUUAUCUUAACUGAAGUCUUCCUUAUUCUCCUCUGGUAGAUUUUCAAUAGACUUCGUGUUUUAGUGCAUAAUUGCUCCAUAACUUUAUAAUUUACUACCAUAGACCUUAUUAAAGUAUCCUUAAUUCUGGAGUUUUUUGAAGCACUAGAAGAGAGAGAGAAGAGCCUUAGAUACUUCUUAACUGUUAGCUAUAAAAAUUUAAAGCAUUUCUUAAUGUAUUUCUAUUGUGAGAAAUUUCCUCAAUAAAAAGCUCUGGG